GGCAACGAAAAGACAUCUAACAAAACGCCUUGAGAAUUUGGAUGGCAAAAUGGACGAACAAGUGGAAGUCUCCAAACAAAUCCGGAAUGAGGUCACAGGUGUUAAAACUGAUCUAUCUCAAAUUGGCUUUGACGUUGAAGCAAUUCAACAGAUGGUAGCUGGACUGGAAGAGAAGAUUGAGUUGCUUGACAAUAAACAGGAUGCGGCUAAUGCUGGUAUCUCUGCCGAAUGGCAGGAGGUAUAAAAGAAGGAAUAAAUGCCAAGUUUUUCCAAGAAGCGGAUGAAAAACUCAAGCUCUUGGACCUGGAUCAUACUGAAAAGAAGCCGGUGAAGGGUGUGUUUGGUUGUGGAACGAAGUGAAAUGAAAUGGAAUGGUUCCAUUCCACUAGACUGGGUCGGUUCCGUUCCUGUGUUUAGUUAGAGGCAAUACAUGGAAUGGAAUGGUUACAUUUUGGUGUUUGGUUGAAGAGACGAAACAUAAUGAAUUUGGUUCGCUUUGGCCAGGUACAUUCACAAAGCAUUAUAAAUAUGACAUCAAACCUAUAUGCAACUAUUUCCUCUUGCACUGAAGCAUUUCUACAAGAUGACCUUGAGGCUAAAAAACGCAUUUCUACAAGC